UUUCGACCGACAGUAAAGAUUAAAAACGCUGCAACCGGAGCUCCAAUGGAUAUACUCCCUGAGUAUAAGUGCCAUUUGUUAAUAGCUUAGGCAAUGCAGGCGACGUCCAUCCUUGAUGUAAGCCACGGCUGAAGAAGGCUAAUGAGGCUGCAAGCAGAAAAAGUAUAUUUAAGUACUAUUGACUAUUAUAUUUUGAAUACAAAUAUUUUUUGCCUGGCAAUAAAAAAUACCUGAUAAUACAGCUAAA